AUUUAGCCCCGAGAGAAGUGAAAAUCCUCCUGUGUUGUCUCAUCCCAAAAGACGAGAGGCACGGGAGAUUACUUUGUCAGUUCGUUAUCGCUCGUGUGUAACGGAUAGCGGGACGAUGC
rnacentral:sRNA from 1 species